UGCUUUCAGGAACGGGGCUCCCAUCCCGACACAUUUCUUUGUGAUUCUUACAAGCUGUAAGAACUCGUCCCUUCCCAUCCGACAGUGUGACGGUCCUCUAGAUGCUGUGUCUUUCGUUCUUCCUCAUCGAGCUGAUCGUCUGGAAACAUGUCAUAAUGGCUCACACUACUCAUGGCUCCAGGAUUGGGUUCAGUUUCACGUGACGCGAAUCAGAGACGUUGAGCUUCUGACGGGCUUGAGUUUUUACCAUGACCGGAUAUCUGUUGCUGAAACAUUACAACUCAAAACCACACUCAAAACUUUCUAGAAACGCUUAUGAACUUAGACCACAUUCCACUGCGUCUGCAGGCCACGAACGGCACAUUCGGAAUGGAAUGGAUCUGUUCACCAUUAAAACCCAGCUGAGCCUUACCAGACUCUGAAACAAAGACACUAGUUCAUCCAGAGAGUCUUUGAACUCCUAAAAUGGGAAAAUAAAAACGUUUUUAUGAUCUCUGCUUUAAUGAAAUCUUUAUUCUCAGAGGCAAUCUAUUUAUAUCUGGGGAAGUACCAGAAACUGGCCCAGCAAUCCUAGAGAAACUAAAAUUCUGUUUUUCCAAAAAAA